UACGUAGGGUGCGAGCGUUUGUCCGGAAUUACUGGGCGUAAAGAGCUCGUAGGUGGUUUGUCGCGUUGUCCGUGAAAACUCACAACUCAAUUGUGGGCGUGCGGGCGAUACGGGCAGACUGGAGUACUGCAGGGGAGACUGGAAUUCCUGGUGUAGCGGUGGAAUGCGCAGAUAUCAGGAGGAACACCGGUGGCGAAGGCGGGUCUCGUGGGCAGUAACUGACGCUGAGGAGCGAAAGCGUGGGGAGCGAACAGG
rnacentral:rRNA from 1 species